AAUAUCGAUAUUUAUUAGAUUGUUCCUGCCUUCAGUGAAUACACAGUUCAGCAGGCUUUUAAAAUGAGCAAGAGCAGCUUUUACAUGGGCCUAAAACACUAAGAGGAAACUGGACUGGAACUCAGGUCACUGAAAGACAGCUGCGGGGACCAAAGAGGCUCUCCUAUCACCUGCAGAAUCCUUCGUAGUUGACCAUUCAAGAAUACUUUGAUGAGAUCUCUACCUUAUGGCAGUGAUUUUCAACUGGUGUUCUGGGAAAAUGUUUAAAGAUCAUUGAUUAAAUAAUUUUCAGAAGAAGUUCAAAGCACAAGACAGGGUCUCACCCUGACACCUAGGCUGCAACUUCAAACUCCUGGGCACCAGUGAUCCUCCCACCUCUGCCUCCCAAUGUGCUGGGAUUACAGUAUACUGCCUCAUGGACGUCACUUCCUCAAUCUCCCAGAAGAGCAGUUUCUUCCUCAACUCAGUGAGACAACAGGGCGCUGUCUGGAUUUCCCAUACCUGGGCUGUCCCCUGGACACCAACUCCAGGUAUCACGUUGUGCUACAGGAUCCGCUGUGUUACCUCAGCCAAAAUAAUACAUUGCAGCAGAUUGAAUGCAGAGGGAGCUGGGGGAAUCCAGUGAUCUUCCAUCAAGGUAGACAUUAAAGAGACUUGGACUGAAUGACUCCAGUGGCUUUGCCGCCUCUUCAGCCUGCAGGUGACAGAUGGUGGGACUUCUCAGCUUCUAUAAUUGCAUGAUGAAUUCCCAUAAUAAAUCUCUUAUUAAUAUCGAUAUAUCCUAGUGGCUCUGUUUCCCUGGAAAACCCCAGCUAAUGUAGUCACUAUGGCUGAUCCAAGAU